CGAAGGGCUAGCGUUGCUCGGAAUCACUGGGCGUAAAGGGUGCGUAGGCGGGUCUUUAAGUCAGAGGUGAAAUCCUGGAGCUCAACUCCAGAACUGCCUUUGAUACUGAAGGUCUUGAGUAUGACAGAGGUGAGUGGAACUGCGAGUGUAGAGGUGAAAUUCGUAGAUAUUCGCAAGAACACCAGUGGCGAAGGCGGCUCACUGGGGUCAUAACUGACGCUGAGGCACGAAAGCGUGGGAGCAAACAGGAUU
rnacentral:rRNA from 1 species